AGAAAGAGAGGGACGAUGCGAAGGCGCGUCAGUGUGUGCGCGCCGUCUAGACGACCGGUUGUCGGCGAGACGGUAGAAAGGAGGGGAUGGAGGGCAAAAGAAGGAGAGAAGAGAGGGUAACGGAGGUAUAGCGGGGAGGUAUGAUAACCGGCUAUCAUAUCUCAGGGCCGUCGCUACGACUACUACCUCUCCCUCCCUUAUCUCCCCGCCCCUCUACCCUUCGUCGCUUCGUCGUUUUCUCUUCUUCGUUACUCUUGGUUACAUCUAGAGAGAGAGAGAGAGAGAGAGAGAGAGAAAGAGAGAAACGUUACGAAGCAACGUUCUUCUUCUUCUCGUCCGUUCUUUUUCUUCCUUCAUUUAAAUCAUCCCAAUUCUUUGAAAAUUAUUAACGAAUAUCGAUAGACGAUCACUGCUGUAAUGGUCGAUCGGAAAGAAAGAAAAAUUGAAUAAAAGAUAUAUUUCGCAUUUUGUUAAAAAGGACGAUGAAAUCGUUUAAUCCAAAGUCGGGGAAGAUACGAAGAAGAGCUCGAAGAAAGCGAAGAGAUAGGAUGGGCCGUGUCUUUCCUACGGCAAGGAAUAUUCUACGAAAGAAAGAGACGGAGAACGAGGGACGACGACUCUUUGAUAUUCCGAAUCGAAAGGGAACGAUAAAUCUGGCGAUCGUACACGCGCGAGUAAAUUCGCAGACGUGGCGAAGGAGUCGAAUUCGUUUUCGUUCGGUUUUUUCUUCUAAAACGCUCCUCGAUACUCGAUAAGAGAAAGAAAAGUAGCUUGAAAAAUAUUCUCCGAGGACCGACCGAGGGACGAACCUUCCAAACGAGACUCGUUCACGUCUUGCCAACAUUGCAGAGAGAGAGAGAGAGAGAGAGAGAGAGAGAGAGGGAGAGAGAGAGAGAGAGAGAGAGAGAGAGAAAAAGGUAACUCGCAGUCGUAUUAAAUUUUGAUGAAAUCGAUAGUCUGGCCUGUGAAAAAGAGAGAGAGAGAGAGAGAUGGUCGAGAAUGCCUGACCUACGCGCUCGAUCCCAGCACGCGUCGUGUUCAGGCUCGUACUCUCCCUCUCUCUUUUUCUCCCCUAACAACGUUCCAAAUAAUCUGCCGCGCGAAAUGGACGUGCCUCGAUAUUGGUCUCCCGGGUGUGCUUCGAUUCUACCGGACACCCGAAGCGAGUGUCAAAAAAAAGGAUAUAUAAAAAAAGAAGAAUAUAAAAAAGAAAGAAGAGAGAAAGAGCAGAGAGAACGAAGAAGCUCAUCGAAAAACGAGUACAACGACGAACGAACGAGGGUGGGAGCAAGGACGGAAGGGUGAUGGUGUCGCGACACCGUCGCGACGCUUCACAAGCCCCUGCGUGGAUGCUGUGUUUCGAUUCUUCCUUUGGUUGCUUCUUUUUCUUGCAACAUAAAUGUAUAUUUUAAUCGUUCAAUAAAAUUUUCUCCAACGCGUA